rnacentral:snRNA from 1 species
GGAUGUGAGGGCAGUCUGGCUGUGAUAUCUGUCACCCCACGGAUGUCCAGAGUUGAUUUGGCUGAUCUGGCUGGUUGAGGAGAGUGUCCCCUUCCUCCCUCACAGCUCCAUGAGCAUCCCUCCUGAAACUGCAUGCUCGAUCGAACUGAUAAAGACAUACCAUUCUUCAGUCAAGGAGUUGCACUCCCCUGAUAGAAGCUCCCAAGGUCCAAAUGUGGAUCCAGUCCACAUUUCAUUUAAUCCAUCUAUCACAUAUACACACAGCAUAUAUGGCUGUAUAUGU